rnacentral:rRNA from 1 species
GACGAACGCUGGCGGCGUGCUUAACACAUGCAAGUCGAACGCUGAAGCCCUUUCGGGGGUGGAUGAGUGGCGAACGGGUGAGUAACACGUGGGUAAUCUGCCCUGCACUCUGGGAUAAGCCUUGGAAACGGGGUCUAAUACCGGAUAGGACACAUCGCCGCAUGGUGUGUGUGUGGAAAGUUCCGGCGGUGCAGGUUGAGCCCGCGGCCUAUCAGCUUGUUGGUGGGGUGAUGGCCUACCAAGGCGACGACGGGUAGGCGGCCUGAGAGGGUGACCGGCCACACUGGGACUGAGACACGGCCCAGACUCCUACGGGAGGCAGCAGUGGGGAAUCUUGCGCAAUGGGCGAAAGCCUGACGCAGCAACGCCGCGUGGGGGAUGACGGCCUUCGGGUUGUAAACCUCUUUCGACCGGGACGAAGGGUGACUGACGGUACCGGUAGAAGAAGCACCGGCUAACUACGUGCCAGCCGCCGCGGUAA